UAGGGAAUCUUCCGCAAUGGGCGAAAGCCUGACGGAGCAACGCCGCGUGAGUGAUGAAGGUCUUCGGAUCGUAAAACUCUGUUAUUAGGGAAGAACAAAUGUGUAAGUAACUAUGCACGUCUUGACGGUACCUAAUCAGAAAGCCACGGCUAACUACGUGCCAGCAGCCGCGGUAAUACGUAGGUGGCAAGCGUUAUCCGGAAUUAUUGGGCGUAAAGCGCGCGUAGGCGGUUUUUUAAGUCUGAUGUGAAAGCCCACGGCUCAACCGUGGAGGGUCAUUGGAAACUGGAAAACUUGAGUUCAGAAGAGGAAAGUGGAAUUCCAUGUGUAGCGGUGAAAUGCGCAGAGAUAUGGAGGAACACCAGUGGCGAAGGCGACUUUCUGGUCUGUAACUGACGCUGAUGUGCGAAAGCGUGGGGAUCAAACAGG
rnacentral:rRNA from 1 species